UACGGAGGGUGCAAGCGUUAUCCGGAUUCACUGGGUUUAAAGGGUGCGUAGGUGGGCAGGUAAGUCAGUGGUGAAAUCUCCGGGCUUAACUCGGAAACUGCCAUUGAUACUAUCUGUCUUGAAUACCGUGGAGGUUAGCGGAAUAUGUCAUGUAGCGGUGAAAUGCUUAGAUAUGACAUAGAACACCAAUUGCGAAGGCAGCUUGCUACAGGGAUAUUGACACUGAGGCACGAAAGCGUGGGGAUCAAACAGG
rnacentral:rRNA from 1 species